rnacentral:rRNA from 1 species
UACAGAGGGUGCGAGCGUUGUCCGGAAUCACUGGGCGUAAAGGGCGCGUAGGUGGCGCGACAAGUCAGUGGUGAAAGUUCGACGCUCAACGUCGAAUCGGCCACUGAUACUGUUGGGCUUGAGCACUGUAGAGGCUAAUGGAAUUCCGGGUGUAGCGGUGGAAUGCGUAGAGAUCGGGAGGAACACCAGUGGCGAAGGCGGCUUCCUGGACCGUGGCUGACGCUGAGGCGCGAAAGCGUGGGGAGCGAACAGG